rnacentral:misc_RNA from 1 species
GAAAUGCGAUAAGUAAUGUGAAUUGCAGAAUUCAGUGAAUCAUCGAAUCUUUGAACGCAUAUUGCGCCCUUUGGCAUUCCGAAGGGCAUACCUGUUCGAGCGUCAUUACACCCUUCAAACGUAACUGUUUGAUGUUGGGCGAUGCCUGGAGGCAUGCCUAAAAUUUAGCGACGGUACAUUAAACCUCCAGCGCACAGAUGUCGUUAUGUGGGCGAGAUGGCACCGGUCUCCAUGAAUUUCUGAAUGUUGACCUCGGAUCAGGUAGGGAUACCCGCUGAACUUAA